rnacentral:misc_RNA from 1 species
GGAAGGAAAAGUCGGAACAAGGUAUCCGUAGGUGAACCUGCGGAAGGAUCAUUAUUGUAUAACCGAGGUGCGAGGGCUGUCGCUGACCCGAAAGGUCGUGCACGCCCGAGUGCCCUCACACACAUCCAUCUCACCCCUAUGUGCACCACCGCGUGGGUCCCCCUUUGGCUUGUUCGGAGGGGGGCUUACGUUUUCACACAAACUUUGUAUGCAGUGUAGAAUGUAUUUUUUGUUUUUGCGAUCACGCAAUCAAUACAACUUUCAACAACGGAUCUCUUGGCUCUC